CCUACGGGUGGCAGCAGUGGGGAAUAUUGGACAAUGGGCGAAAGCCUGAUCCAGCCAUGCCGCGUGUGUGAAGAAGGCCUUCGGGUUGUAAAGCACUUUCAGUGGGGAAGAAAGCCUUGGGGCUAAUACCCUCGAGGAAGGACAUCACCCACAGAAGAAGCACCGUCUAACUCCGUGCCAGCAGCCGCGGUAAUACGGAGGGUGCGAGCGUUAAUCGGAAUUACUGGGCGUAAAGCGCGCGUAGGCGGUCUGAUAAGCCGGUUGUGAAAGCCCCGGGCUCAACCUGGGAACGGCAUCCGGAACUGUCAGGCUAGAGUGCAGGAGAGGAAGGUAGAAUUCCCGGUGUAGCGGUGAAAUGCGUAGAGAUCGGGAGGAAUACCAGUGGCGAAGGCGGCCUUCUGGACUGACACUGACGCUGAGGUGCGAAAGCGUGGGUAGCAAACAGGAUUAGAUACCCUAGUAGUC
rnacentral:rRNA from 1 species